UAAAUCAUCUGUUCUGGAAUU
rnacentral:piRNA from 1 species